rnacentral:rRNA from 1 species
UACGAAGGGCGCAAGCGUUGUCCGGAAUUAUUGGGCGGAAAGAGCUCGUAGGCGGCUUGUCACGUCGGGUGUGAAAGCCCGGGGCUUAACCCCGGGUCUGCAUUCGAUACGGGCUAGCUAGAGUGUGGUAGGGGAGAUCGGAAUUCCUGGUGUAGCGGUGAAAUGCGCAGAUAUCAGGAGGAACACCGGUGGCGAAGGCGGAUCUCUGGGCCAUUACUGACGCUGAGGAGCGAAAGCGUGGGGAGCGAACAGG